ACUUCCGCUUCCGGCUGGGGCGCGGGAGGGGGCGGGUACCGGUGAACUGGGGUUCGGGAAGCGGUAGCGGUGGAGCCAGGCUUGCGUCUCCGAGCCCUGGGUUUCGCUCGCCGGGCCGCGCGCGCCUCGCCGGCCCCGCCUGGGAGUGGUGCGGGGCGGAGAGCGGCGCUCCUCAGGGCGGCGCCGGAAGGGCGGCGACUUGCAGUGGAGCCCGGGGCCGAGGGAGCGGCGUCCACGAAGCCGAGCUGUCUGAGGAAGAAGAUCCAUUUAUUGAUUUUGUUCCAGACCAGACUGGACCUCAGUUGUCAAGGGUGGUGCUGGUGGGGUGCCCAACACAGAAGCAAAACAGUUCCUAGAGGAGAAUGAUGACGGUUGCAGCUCAUGAGCUGGGAAAAGAGGCAGUGCUCUUGGGAGAAACAGCAGAGGCCCCAGGCUUCAAGCUGAAGCCAGCAGAGUCCCAGCCAAUGGGCAUGUGCCAGGAUGAAGAAUUUUGGAAUACAUACCGAUGUCAACAAGAAUACCUGAGCAAGAAUAGUCAUAAAGAAACUGAACCUGUAUAUAAGAGGGGUAAGGAGCUUCAUGAUAAUUUCCUUCUCCUGGGAGCUAUGAUAGUCAUUUGUUCAGCCAGAACGUUGUAAACAUUUUCUAGGUGCCCAUCUCUGUGGAUCUGCAAAUGCAACCAUGUUAGCGAUUACAGUGCCACUCCCUGAUGGUAGUAGAAUAGACUAGCUGUGGGUGAAGUUGGAGGUUGGCCUAAAGUACAGAAAUAUCCAAACCACAGAACCCUGGUAAUAACAUCAUGAACUCUUCCUUAGUAAAGUGGGGAGGGUUAGGGCCACCUCAUCCUUGUAAAAUACAGAAGGAAUUGGGAUCAGAAAUGUGCUGUCAGUGACAAAAUGUGAAUGCUAUUCUGUACCAGGAAAAAAAUAAUAAAGAUUAAAAACUACA